rnacentral:rRNA from 1 species
CGGGACACGUGGUAUCCUGUCUGAAUAUGGGGGGACCAUCCUCCAAGGCUAAAUACUCCUGACUGACCGAUAGUGAACCAGUACCGUGAGGGAAAGGCGAAAAGAACCCCGGCGAGGGGAGUGAAAAAGAACCUGAAACCGUGUACGUACAAGCAGUGGGAGCCUCUUAAUGGGGUGACUGCGUACCUUUUGUAUAAUGGGUCAGCGACUUAUAUUCUGUAGCAAGGUUAACCGAAUAGGGGAGCCGAAGGGAAACCGAGUCUUAACUGGGCGUUAAGUUGCAGGGUAUAGACCCGAAACCCGGUGAUCUAGCCAUGGGCAGGUUGAAGGUUGGGUAACACUAACUGGAGGACCGAACCGACUAAUGUUGAAAAAUUAGCGGAUGACUUGUGGCUGGGGGUGAAAGGCCAAUCAAACCGGGAGAUAGCUGGUUCUCCCCGAAAGCUAUUUAGGUAGCGCCUCGUGAAUUCAUCUCCGGGGGUAGAGCACUGUUUCGGCAAGGGGGUCAUCCCGACUUACCAACCCGAUGCAAACUGCGAAUACCGGAGAAUGUUAUCACGGGAGACACACGGCGGGUGCUAACGUCCGUCGUGAAGAGGGAAACAACCCAGACCGCCAGCUAAGGUCCCAAAGUCAUGGUUAAGUGGGAAACGAUGUGGGAAGGCCCAGACAGCCAGGAUGUUGGCUUAGAAGCAGCCAUCAUUUAAAGAAAGCGUAAUAGCUCACUGGUCGAGUCGGCCUGCGCGGAAGAUGUAACGGGGCUAAACCAUGCACCGAAGCUGCGGCAGCGACACUGUGUGUUGUUGGGUAGGGGAGCGUUCUGUAAGCCUGCGAAGGUGUGCUGUGAGGCAUGCUGGAGGUAUCAGAAGUGCGAAUGCUGACAUAAGUAACGAUAAAGCGGGUGAAAAGCCCGCUCGCCGGAAGACCAAGGGUUCCUGUCCAACGUUAAUCGGGGCAGGGUGAGUCGACCCCUAAGGCGAGGCCGAAAGGCGUAGUCGAUGGGAAACAGGUUAAUAUUCCUGUACUUGGUGUUACUGCGAAGGGGGGACGGAGAAGGCUAUGUUGGCCGGGCGACGGUUGUCCCGGUUUAAGCGUGUAGGCUGGUUUUCCAGGCAAAUCCGGAAAACCAAGGCUGAGGCGUGAUGACGAGGCACUACGGUGCUGAAGCGACAAAUGCCCUGCUUCCAGGAAAAGCCUCUAAGCAUCAGGUAACAUCAAAUCGUACCCCAAACCGACACAGGUGGUCAGGUAGAGAAUACCAAGGCGCUUGAGAGAACUCGGGUGAAGGAACUAGGCAAAAUGGUGCCGUAACUUCGGGAGAAGGCACGCUGAUAUGUAGGUGAAGCGACUUGCUCGUGGAGCUGAAAUCAGUCGAAGAUACCAGCUGGCUGCAACUGUUUAUUAAAAACACAGCACUGUGCAAACACGAAAGUGGACGUAUACGGUGUGACGCCUGCCCGGUGCCGGAAGGUUAAUUGAUGGGGUUAGCGGCAACGCGAAGCUCUUGAUCGAAGCCCCGGUAAACGGCGGCCGUAACUAUAACGGUCCUAAGGUAGCGAAAUUCCUUGUCGGGUAAGUUCCGACCUGCACGAAUGGCGUAAUGAUGGCCAGGCUGUCUCCACCCGAGACUCAGUGAAAUUGAACUCGCUGUGAAGAUGCAGUGUACCCGCGGCAAGACGGAAAGACCCCGUGAACCUUUACUAUAGCUUGACACUGAACAUUGAGCCUUGAUGUGUAGGAUAGGUGGGAGGCUUUGAAGUGUGGACGCCAGUCUGCAUGGAGCCGACCUUGAAAUACCACCCUUUAAUGUUUGAUGUUCUAACGUUGGCCCCUAAUCGGGGUUGCGGACAGUGUCUGGUGGGUAGUUUGACUGGGGCGGUCUCCUCCUAAAGAGUAACGGAGGAGCACGAAGGUUGGCUAAUCCUGGUCGGACAUCAGGAGGUUAGUGCAAUGGCAUAAGCCAGCUUGACUGCGAGCGUGACGGCGCGAGCAGGUGCGAAAGCAGGUCAUAGUGAUCCGGUGGUUCUGAAUGGAAGGGCCAUCGCUCAACGGAUAAAAGGUACUCCGGGGAUAACAGGCUGAUACCGCCCAAGAGUUCAUAUCGACGGCGGUGUUUGGCACCUCGAUGUCGGCUCAUCACAUCCUGGGGCUGAAGUAGGUCCCAAGGGUAUGGCUGUUCGCCAUUUAAAGUGGUACGCGAGCUGGGUUUAGAACGUCGUGAGACAGUUCGGUCCCUAUCUGCCGUGGGCGCUGGAGAACUGAGGGGGGCUGCUCCUAGUACGAGAGGACCGGAGUGGACGCAUCACUGGUGUUCGGGUUGUCAUGCCAAUGGCACUGCCCGGUAGCUAAAUGCGGAAGAGAUAAGUGCUGAAAGCAUCUAAGCACGAAACUUGCCCCGAGAUGAGUUCUCCCUGAGACUUAGAGUCUCCUGAAGGAACGUUGAAGACGACGACGUUGAUAGGCCGGGUGUGUAAGCGCAGCGAUGCGUUGAGCUAACCGGUACUAAUGAACCGUGAGGCUUAACCUUACAACGCCGAAG